UUUUAUGAGAGUUUGAUCCUGGCUCAGGACGAACGCUGGCGGCGUGCCUAAUACAUGCAAGUCGUACGCUUCUUUUUCCACCGGAGCUUGCUCCACCGGAAAAAGAAGAGUGGCGAACGGGUGAGUAACACGUGGGUAACCUGCCCAUCAGAAGGGGAUAACACUUGGAAACAGGUGCUAAUACCGUAUAACAAUCGAAACCGCAUGGUUUUGAUUUGAAAGGCGCUUUCGGGUGUCGCUGAUGGAUGGACCCGCGGUGCAUUAGCUAGUUGGUGAGGUAACGGCUCACCAAGGCCACGAUGCAUAGCCGACCUGAGAGGGUGAUCGGCCACAUUGGGACUGAGACACGGCCCAAACUCCUACGGGAGGCAGCAGUAGGGAAUCUUCGGCAAUGGACGAAAGUCUGACCGAGCAACGCCGCGUGAGUGAAGAAGGUUUUCGGAUCGUAAAACUCUGUUGUUAGAGAAGAACAAGGAUGAGAGUAACUGUUCAUCCCUUGACGGUAUCUAACCAGAAAGCCACGGCUAACUACGUGCCAGCAGCCGCGGUAAUACGUAGGUGGCAAGCGUUGUCCGGAUUUAUUGGGCGUAAAGCGAGCGCAGGCGGUUUCUUAAGUCUGAUGUGAAAGCCCCCGGCUCAACCGGGGAGGGUCAUUGGAAACUGGGAGACUUGAGUGCAGAAGAGGAGAGUGGAAUUCCAUGUGUAGCGGUGAAAUGCGUAGAUAUAUGGAGGAACACCAGUGGCGAAGGCGGCUCUCUGGUCUGUAACUGACGCUGAGGCUCGAAAGCGUGGGGAGCAAACAGGAUUAGAUACCCUGGUAGUCCACGCCGUAAACGAUGAGUGCUAAGUGUUGGAGGGUUUCCGCCCUUCAGUGCUGCAGCUAACGCAUUAAGCACUCCGCCUGGGGAGUACGACCGCAAGGUUGAAACUCAAAGGAAUUGACGGGGGCCCGCACAAGCGG
rnacentral:rRNA from 1 species